UCAGACAUGGUGUAGUGGGAACACAGCCUUCUAUUGCGUGACAUAGUUUAGGGAGAAUUAAGAGGCAGUCCAGGGUUCGAAUCCUUGUGUCUGAA